AUAGUGACGGAGAUGUUUUUGGACUGUGAUAUGAAACAGCACGGCAGAUUGUCCGCUUGUUAUGAGGCUGGCGGUCAGGCGUCGAACGUGCCAAAGAACCGGGGGAAGGGUUCUCAAGUGUCCCACGCCACAUGGCGAACGAACAGAACGUUGCCAGUCCUUCUGGAUCCAGUGACUGUAGUCGGGUAGGAUUUCAUAUACUGUAUAUUGUAUUUGGAUGAGGAAACACAAUAUGGAUCCGCAGGUUUGUGUCCUGCAGGGCUUGUGUAAUAUUAUGCACGCAUUAUCUGAAAAUAUCUUUUUUCAGUCAGGCGUUAGUGAAAAGGGCUCAGGUAUAGCUCUAAUAUUUCUGAUGGUUUCCUGUAUGGAGGUGUGUGUUCUCCAAUUGUUUCUGGGGUAUUUCGUAAUAAACUGUUUGAGGAACUACUUUGAUAAUGUGUUGUGACACAGUUUUGAAGUGGACUCUUGGCUGCUUGAAAAAUUGAGGUGACACCUUUCAAAUGCGCAUAAUUCUCUGGAUGCUAUUUGUAAAUGGUUGGAGUUUUGAUAUUAAUGUUUAUUUUCAAUUGUGCUGAAUUAUGCUGAAGGAUUACAUUGUAGUUCAAGUAAAAUGUUACCAAAAUUGUUUUGUUGACCUUGUUAUUAAAACCCUCCUACUUAACUGAGUGGUUGCACAUCUUGCUUGUUCUAAUUGGAUAUGCAGUACAAAACAUCUGUGCCAGUGAGAAUCUUAAAUUCUGUGGAACUAAACAUAAGCUGAAAACGUACACCUGGGGAAGGAGUUUUAUGUGACACCUUAGUAGCAUGAUAGCAGCUAUUAUGUUUUCUGAAUGUAUAUUAACCUCUGCUUUCCUUCUGUUCUCUCCUCCAGUUAUGCAUCUAGGAAGUUACUAAUAAGAGAUUUUGGUUUCAGAGUUAGCUAUGGGACUGGCUUUGAUCAAACCCAUUUGUGAAUACAAAGAGGCAGCAAAUCAUAACACCGUCCUUCAACAAGAUAAAGAUGGAAUUGUUAUGCAUAUAAAUCUGAAUAACUUCUCAGCAAACAGAGUAUCUGUUAUGAGAUCUCCUGAGAGGCCUUAAAUUCAAGGCAAGCUCAGAGACAGGCACUCAUAAAUCGCAUACACAGGAAGUCGUAACGUAGACUACGCCAGACAGCACUAAUAAAAAAACACAGGUAACGAGCCACUUCAAAGGGAUCCAUAAAUGUAAAGUACAUUUGAAUACAAGUGGCCCAGUGUAAAUCUAUGAGAACAUGAAGUACAAUGGCCAUUCUUAUUUCAUGCGCCCCCGUGGGCUUUUGGAAUAAGUGUGUAACAAGCUGUUCAAUGGAAUUUUACAGAGAGCAGGUAUAUGCAGUACCUGUUAGACAUCUGAUUUAAUCUGAACAAUACAGAUGAGUGUUAGGGUAGGCUUCUUCACUGCAGCCACAAUGUGUGUCAGUGUCGAACCGUUUUCUAAUUUUAUAUUUCAGACUUUUUUUUUUUUCUCUUUUCAACCUUGUGGUGGAAGGAACUCCAAGACAUCCUCAUUUUAGUAUGGUCACUAUCAUUCUUUUGCAUUACAUCAAUCCCAAAUAGGCCAUAAUAGAUAGAAAAAUACACAUGUAGCUAGCUAUUAACAAAUGUACAUUUUUAUUUGAAAUUGCCAAGGAAAAUGCUAUGGAAGGUUAUGUAAACUCUAGGGUAAUGUUACCGCCAUGAAAUUUCCUCUUAGACUACUGAAACAUCAUACAUGUUUAAAUAAAUUUUAAGAAAAUGUUUAAGGCCUUACUUUGUUAUAAUUUUUAAUUGUGCUUUGUGUCAAACCUGGAACCAGUCUAAAAUGGUUUCACUGCUUUCAUGAGGCCUACUGCACAGAUUACUAAGAAAAAAGUUUCCUGGUAUCACAACGAAAGCUAACCAUGUUCAUAUUUCUUGACUAAAAAUGAGAGGUAAAUGAUUUGUAACCACAUUACUAUUCCACGGGAUCUCCUUUUGAACCAAGACUAUGAAUAAAUCAUCCAGAUCAUAAUUAUGCUAUGUGAUAUUCAAUAAUGCAGUAAUAAUACAGCAGUACCUCAGUGCUCACUAACAAAUUGGGUGGUUAGAAUUUUCAGCUGAAGCUUAAAAAACUAAGAUUAAUGGAAUCACUUUCAAUAAAUAAAAAGCAAUUGCAAUAUUACAACUUAAAGUACUAUGUCAGGCACCUGUGGUAAUCUGCUUACAGUAAGUUGCCAUUGUACAUUGGGAUGUGUCAUAGCUCUAAAGGCAGGACGAAUUCACUGCUAACCCCCGAGUUCAACGCUAAAUGAAAACGUACUUUCUAGGUAGUAAUUUUAAAAAAAAUUUCAGGGCGUCGAUGAGAAACCCUUGACGCAGAAACAAGCCCGUUUCUUCAAAGCAAAAAAGGAGAAGAGAAGUGAAAUGCCGACAUUUCCAUUCUCUGCUGGGUUUCCGUCACGUCUCCCUCUGAGGCCAGGCAGAGGCGAGUCUUCAAAAGCUUGAUUAAUCCACACCCGACUGGGCUUUUUAUGUAGCCUGGCUCGGCCCGGUGUCACAGUCUCUGCCUCCUCUUUUUCAAUAAUUACAUUCACUGAUCUAUCACACGCGAGAUAAUGGGCCAUCCCUCUGUUCACCAAAGUCACAGGUCACUUUUACAUCGUCUGCUUCUCCCAGUGUUUUUAAAUGCCCUCUUAAAUGAUAUGCAUUUGAUCUCCUUUGCCCACAGGUUAAACAGUAUAACUCAUAAAAAUGGUGGAGAUUUAAUUUUCUGAGUUUCGCUCUGGCUCCAUAAGUGCUUAAUAUAUCUCGUUAAACUAAUGUGUUUACCUGCCUGCCUUUUUUUUAGCCUAGCAAAUAUUGUAAGGUGUAGAGUUCAGUGUAAUUUCUCCUUUGAACAAUGGCACUAGUCAUAAUCACACAACAACUGAUUUAUGCUGUAAAGCUUUAAGUUUGAGAAUACACUGAAUCUUCACAAUGCAAUCUAUUUUAUGUGCAGACAGCACACAGUAGAUCCAUUUGCAAAACCACAGCCAGGAAAGAGAGAGCAUUUACAUCUAGUCUGUGCAUUAAUGCUAUCAGAGCCAUGUUUGUUCAGCUUUGUUUAGAAUGCCAUGCAAACAGAACUUUUAAUUGCGUCAAUGUCACGAGGGCUCACCUCCAACGAUUUCCAAAACGUGUUCGCUGCCUGCAUUCCAGAUUUGAAGCCGAUCUGUUUCCAGGGGAACAACACCUGGAGACAUGAAGGAUUGCUUUAUCAUUUAUGGCGGCCAUGACAAAAAGCAGAUGAACUUUGCCGACCUUACCACUGUAUCUGCUUGAAUGAAACACGGAACUAGCCACUGUGUUGAUAGAAUUUGUUUUCCCCCCCAGCUUACCAGGCGCUUACAGGUAACUAGCUGUCAUGUUACAAGUUACUUGUAGGCAGCUGGUGUCAUUGUAGCAUACAUAAUAAUAACUUGCUUGCAGAACAAUAACUUGCUUGCAGGUGAGUGUAUUGUAUGAGGAGCUAUUAGUCCCUCUGGAUAACAGAAACUGCUACUGUAGAUACCUUAAAAAAAUGUAAAAUGGAAAUGGUCAAGGCGAUUCCAAAAAUGAAGAAGGGGGGGAGGGGGGAAAUUAUGCUGAAACUAGAAUUUUAAACCUGAAUCUCUUGUGCCCACUCUGGCAUUCAGCCUUGUCCCCUAAACAAAUAUUCUUUACGCAUGGGCCCUCUCAGGAAGGGAACCGAUUGGUUCUAAUGAAGUGGUAACAGGAUUUAUUCUACCAAGACUCUUUUAAAGGUCAGCGCAAGUUAUGAAAUUGAAGGUGUGAACCCCAUUGCACAUAUUCUCCAAGGUACGCUUAAGAUGUGCUGACAGCUGUGCUUGGCUUAUAAAACUAUGAGGAAAAGUCAAAUACUUCAAUAAUGUAUGAAAUGUUGACAGCACAGAAAGAUAUUUUAGAUUUUUUUAUUCAAGCCAAAUGUUAGUGCACAUGGUGGAGGUGCCCUUUUGUAAUUUUUUGCCCCUGCCCCUUAGAGAGUCUGUGCAUGCUGCUGGUUUGUACUGCCUAUUUCUCCACCUCUUUCAUGCUUUGUCACAUCUACUGUUGAACUUGACUUGAUAAAGAUGGUUGGAUGCUCUGUUUUAUGGAUUAGGCUGCAAGCCUAUUGUCUCGUUCACAGAUGUAUAGUCUGGCCCCGAACGCAAAGAAAGCCGUGAGAGGACACAGCCACCGUUAAAAUGGAUGAAGUUCACAUGUCCACAAUGGCACCCGGUGUUUGGACAUGUGAACAGUGAGCUAAUGCCAGUCUUGGCCAGGGCUGAGGUGUGCCUGGAUAUAAAUUAAAGGUGACUGUCACCCCAGGCCUCGUUGGAGAAGCACAGAGGCUGAAUCCAAGCCAGCUGUUACAGAGCUCUGAAGAUAAAUACAUUUAAUGCAGGCUUUGCUGAGGUGAAGCGGGAUCUAUACCCAUCAAGACCUACAGACCCAGGAAUGCUAUCUAUUUCCCUUAUUUCUAUAAUAUUACGAUAAUAAUGCCAUAGCAUGAUGAACAUUAAACAUUGUGAUGGAACAGAGCUGUUUGCAGACUUAAACAUGGUGACACAUUUUUGAAAGAGUGUAGGUCUGUGGGUUAAACAGUAAUUCCUAUGACAAACCUGAUGGCUUAAUAUGUAUGUGUAAUUUAUUUUUGAUCUUUCGAUGAUGGACAGUAUUGGUGCUUAUCAUCUGCAUUCCCUAGCCAAAUUAAUGUAAAAGACUUACAAAAAGGAGGAUAAUGGGGAAAAUGUGUGUUGUCUUUGGAGGACUUUUUAAGAAAAAAAAGAAAGAAAAAAACCCUGUGAGAACUAAUCAUUAAAUCUAAACAGGGUUCUCUUCCGAUAUGGGUGAAAAAGAUAGGGAAUGGAGAACAGGAUCAUUUACAAUGAGCUGAGAAAUAUUCAUACCGAGCACAGAGGCAGAGGUGGAUUUAAAGCAGUUGACACAUAAAAUGUUUAGGGUCUAGAUCCCAGUCGUAGGGACUCUAAUAGCCUCUGGGUAGCGAUGUAUUAAAUUUAAAUCCCCUUUUUGUUUCUGUAAAAACCGUUCUUGUCCCCUCUGUAUUUAAUAACUACCUUGUGCCUUGUUUUUUAUGGAUGUGCAAGGUUUAUUUCUGUUUAUACUUGGCCAGUUUAUUAAAAAAAGACAAAUACUC